GAAGUGCGAUAAGCAAUGCGAAUUGCAGAACCGUGAGUCAUCAGAUUUUUGAACGCAACUGGCGCCGACUGGCUCUCCAGUCGGCAUGCUUGUUUCAGUGUCUCGUUCUCUCCUCACCCAAACUUUAAUGCGAGAGAUACCCUUCUCUUGUUAAGUAAGAAAGCACUCUGUUCUUUGCAAGUGAUCUCAGUUUAGGCUGAGGGUCACACUCAAUGCAGCAGUCACAUUUUUAUAGUGUGAACUCAUUGAGAGUAGAGACAGCUCAAGCUUGCUUGUAAGUGCUUAGUUCCUCAAACUUUAAUUGCAUCUGAAAUCAAGCAGGACCACCCGCUGAACUUAA
rnacentral:misc_RNA from 1 species